rnacentral:rRNA from 1 species
CCUACGGGGGGCAGCAGGGAAUCUUCCACAAUGGACGAAAGUCUGAUGGAGCAACGCCGCGUGAGUGAAGAAGGGUUUCGGCUCGUAAAGCUCUGUUGGUAGUGAAGAAAGAUAGAGGUAGUAACUGGCCUUUAUUUGACGGUAAUUACUUAGAGAGUCACGGCUAACUACGUGCCAGCAGCCGCGGUAAUACGUAGGUGGCAAGCGUUGUCCGGAUUUAUUGGGCGUAAAGCGAGUGCAGGCGGUUCCAUAAGUCUUGUGUGAAAGCCCUCGGCUCUACCCGAGAAUUUCCUUAUAAACUUGUU